UCUAAGCAUCAGGUAACAUCAAAUCGUACCCCAAACCGACACAGGUGGUCAGGUAGAGAAUACCAAGGCGCUUGAGAGAACUCGGGUGAAGGAACUAGGCAAAAUGGUGCCGUAACUUCGGGAGAAGGCACGCUGGUGUGUAGGUGAAGUCCCUGCGGAUGGAGCUGAGACCAGUCGAAGAUACCAGCUGGCUGCAACUGUUUAUUAAAAACACAGCACUGUGCAAACACGAAAGUGGACGUAUACGGUGUGACGCCUGCCCGGUGCCGGAAGGUUAAUUGAUGGGGUUAUCCGUAAGGAGAAGCUCUUGAUCGAAGCCCCGGUAAACGGCGGCCGUAACUAUAACGGUCCUAAGGUAGCGAAAUUCCUUGUCGGGUAAGUUCCGACCUGCACGAAUGGCGUAAUGAUGGCCAGGCUGUCUCCACCCGAGACUCAGUGAAAUUGAACUCGCUGUGAAGAUGCAGUGUACCCGCGGCAAGACGGAAAGACCCCGUGAACCUUUACUAUAGCUUGACACUGAACAUUGAGCCUUGAUGUGUAGGAUAGGUGGGAGGCUUUGAAGCGUGGACGCCAGUCUGCGUGGAGCCAACCUUGAAAUACCACCCUUUAAUGUUUGAUGUUCUAACGUUGGCCCCUGACCGGGGUUGCGGACAGUGUCUGGUGGGUAGUUUGACUGGGGCGGUCUCCUCCCAAAGCGUAACGGAGGAGCACGAAGGUUAGCUAAUCCUGGUCGGACAUCAGGAGGUUAGUGCAAUGGCAUAAGCUAGCUUGACUGCGAGCGUGACGGCGCGAGCAGGUGCGAAAGCAGGUCAUAGUGAUCCGGUGGUUCUGAAUGGAAGGGCCAUCGCUCAACGGAUAAAAGGUACUCCGGGGAUAACAGGCUGAUACCGCCCAAGAGUUCAUAUCGACGGCGGUGUUUGGCACCUCGAUGUCGGCUCAUCACAUCCUGGGGCUGAAGUAGGUCCCAAGGGUAUGGCUGUUCGCCAUUUAAAGUGGUACGCGAGCUGGGUUUAGAACGUCGUGAGACAGUUCGGUCCCUAUCUGCCGUGGGCGCUGGAGAAUUGAGGGGGGCUGCUCCUAGUACGAGAGGACCGGAGUGGACGCAUCACUGGUGUUCGGGUUGUCAUGCCAAUGGCACUGCCCGGUAGCUAAAUGCGGAAGAGAUAAGUGCUGAAAGCAUCUAAGCACGAAACUUGCCCCGAGAUGAGUUCUCCCUGAGACUUUAAGUCUCCUGAAGGAACGUUAAAGACGAUGACGUUGAUAGGCCGGGUGUGUAAGCGCAGCGAUGCGUUGAGCUAACCGGUACUAAUGAACCGUGAGGCUUAACCUU
rnacentral:rRNA from 1 species